GAUGAGCAUUCUUUUAAAAGUUUUGAUCAAUAGGUUGUAUAUUUUAGAUAAAGUUCUCAAAAAUUAUAUUUUUGGAUAGUUUUCAUUUUUGUGAAUAAUAGUGUGGAUUUGGGGUUUUGAUUUAGAAAUUCGAAUAACAACAAUUGUUUGUUGAUAGAUGAGUAUUCUUUUAGAUUUUUUGAACAAUAGUUGUAUUUUUAAAUAUAAUUCUCAAAAGUUCUAUUUUAGGAAAGUUUUCAUUUUCUAUAGAAAUAUUGUAGAUUUGGGGUUGUGAUUUAGAAAUUAGGAUAACAAUAUUUUUUGUUGAUAGAUGAGUAUUUUUUUAGAUUUUUUGAUCAAUAGGUUGUAUAUUUUAGAUAAAAUUUUCAAAAUUCUAUUUUUAAAAAGUUUUCAUUUUUAUUGCGAAAUACUGUAGAUUUGGGGUUGUGAUUUAGAAUUUAGGAUAACAAGAAUUUUUGUUGAUAGAUGAGUAUUCUUUGAGGAUUUUUGAUCAAUAAGUUGUAUUUUUAAGAUAAAAUUCUCAAAAAUUCUCUUUUAGGAAAGUUUUUAUUUU
rnacentral:lncRNA from 1 species